CAGGCCUCCUGCCAUGUGCUCCAUGCCAGUCAGCAGAGCCUAACACCUACUUUCAUAGUAAAUUCCACUGAACAACAAUUCUUCAGACAUCAGUUUCUAUGUCUUUUCUGGACAACACAUUGGUAUCUUAGGUGAGCUGGAUCUGCAGAUGUGUCAUUCAAAGCAAGGACAUUUCAGGUCCCUGAUGGGAGACUGCAUGAAGGAGAUAAUCUAUUCCAGGUUCUGCACUCACACAAGCAUGUUUCUAGCAAAGCUGCUAGAUGCUUCUUACCUUUCCCAAGAGCUACUGCAUAAGCAUUUCUUGUAGAAUCAAUGGAAUAUUAAUCAUUUUUAAAGCUGGUCAGAAAUUUUCCAAUGAAUGUUUUUCUGCCAAAAAAAUGCUGAUUUGUUGAACCCAAAACUGUUUGAGAGAGAGAGAGUCAGAGUCAAACACUCUCUUGACUUCAAAAAAUGCUAGAAAAAUGUUUUGAAAUUUUCCAUUUCAAAGCUUUUGAACUGAAAAGUUUCAUCUGUUGCAGUUCAAAACAACUUGAUCUACAAUUUUAUUGGAAUUGGACUUGCUGGAUAAGCCAUGUACAGCAGGUCUGGGUGCUAAUUUGUAGGGGACAAAGUCACAAAAGACUUCAGACACUGCAGCAUUCCUUCUUGCAGAACCUGACUUUCAGUUGUUCUGCUGCCUAUUGCAAUUUUCAGCCUGGGAUCCACUAAGCGCAUUUACAGGAUUCUAAAUGCUCAGUAGACUAAUUCUACUGUGCAUUACUGCAUCACAGCAAGAGCUCACCACUAAGAAUGGAGAGGGUAAGACCCUAAGCACAACUCUCUUAAAGGUACAGAAUCAAUACAGGCUUGAGAGAGGCUGUCUAUUUCUGCUCAGGAUUCUCAGAUGUGAAUCCUGCACCAGAAUUAGGAACCUCAAGUUGGUAAACUGCCAAACAGACAGACAGUAAGGCCUACCCCAGUAGGUCAGUGGUGAGGACACUAACUCAGAAGAAAGAGACCUACUUUCAAAUCCUUUCUUUGCCAAAUUUGGAGCAAGGAGUUCAAAUCAUGUCUUAGCGCACACAAAUGCAAAGAGUUAAUUAUGUAGUUGUUGGCGAAGAGACUUGACAGAUGCAACCAGUAAGCCACCCACCUGCUACAGAGUCAAUUGCCUGUUCUUUCAUCUCUCUCUCCUCCCCACUCCCUCUACCCUAUGAGUCUUUCAUUAGCUCUUCAAAACAGAAGAGCCUGUGAAUGAGUCAUUCCAGAAUAUCCAACAGUCUGGUCCUGUCAUCCGUGGAGACCUGGUUUCAUCUCCCUGGUGCAAAAGGACCAGAGGAAGAAACUGCAUACUGGUCUCUCACUUUCCAAAUGAGCACCCUCACCUUUGGACCACACAGACAGCUUUGCAAGCACAGGCCUGCAGAUUAGCCAAAGACUUGGCUUUCUUUUGUGAGAGAUCUAAUCACUCAAUUCUGAUAAAGCCGGUGGGGCCAAACCCAUAGUUAUGGAAAGCAAGGGAAUGCCUACUUUGAGGAUCGUGCUACACUUAGGUCUAAUCUAUGGCUCUAGUAUCAGGACUUUGAUACUUCUUCACCAACCCAUAGGCAGAAACUGAAAUGACAUAAGGUCUCUAAACAUCUACAAAGGUAGGCAACAGCUGAGGAGGGCUGUAGGCUCCCAAAAGCCCUCAAAUGUUGGAUUUAGAAGCAGAGGUUGAGGAUUGUGAAUUCCGAGUGACUGCCAGCAUCACUACAGCUCUGAAUAAGGCAGCCAUCUAUGGUGAAAAAUAAUGUUCAUAACACAAACUGGUCAUCGGUGUUUCCUGAAAACUAGUUUAGACAGUUCCCUGCUUAGCCUGCUGGCUUAUGCGAAUCAUGUUUCCAGGUGCAUCUCUCUCCCCAGUACAGGGAGCAUAAGUAUCGAACUUGGAUGUUGCAAAUACCACUAGGCCAGGGGUGGGCAAAAUAUGGCCCCUGGGCUGGAUCCAGUCUGUGAGGCAAUUCUAUUCAGCCCGUGAGGCCCCUAAAACAUUUAGAAAAUUAAUAUUCAUCUGCCCUUGGUUCCUGUCAAAAAUGACAAAAAUGACAGGAACCGAGGGCAGUAGGACCCAGGGGAAGCCUGGCGGGCUCCCACAACAGCAGGGCCUGCCCAGCCCCACCCCCUAGCUGGAAGCCCCUCCCGGGGCUUCUGGCUUGGAACCAUGUGGCUGCCUCGGCCAGAACCGCAGGUAAGGGGAAAGGAGGGGGGAGGGCAAGGGAGGACCCUGGGCAGGAAAGGAGCUCGGGGAAAAGUGGCCUGGAGGGAAAAGUGGC